UGGGGGAUAUUGCACAAUGGGCGAAAGCCUGAUGCAGCGACGCCGCGUGGGGGAUGAAGGCCUUCGGGUUGUAAACUUCUUUUGCUCUGAACAAGGCAUGCUAAUGGGUGUGUUGAGUGUAGGGGUUGAUUAGCGCCGGCUAACUACGUGCCAGCAGCCGCGGUAAUACGUAGGGCGCGAGCGUUGUCCGGAAUUAUUGGGCGUAAAGGGCUUGUAGGUGGCUGGUUGCGUCUGUCGUGAAAGCUCAUGGCUUAACUGUGGGUUUGCGGUGGGUACGGGUUGGCUUGAGUGCAGUAGGGGAGGCUGGAAUUCCUGGUGUAGCGGUGGAAUGCGCAGAUAUCAGGAGGAAUACCGGUGGCGAAGGCGGGUCUCUGGGCUGUUACUGACACUGAGGAGCGAAAGCAUGGGGAGCGAACAGG
rnacentral:rRNA from 1 species